rnacentral:misc_RNA from 1 species
UGCAACUUCCUGUAAAUUCAGCUGGACAAGGAGUAAGAGACUGACAGAUCUUGUUUGGAAUUAUCACUCCUGUAUUCAUCCGUCCAUAUUAUAGCCGUCCAUGAUGGACCCGAUGGAGUGUGACCCCAGCCAUGUGGAGUCUGAGGUGUGUGUCACACAAGAUUCGGACAACAUCUACAGCGGCCUCACAAACUUCAAGGUAGAGAAGAAGAUCGGCAAGGGGCAGUUUUCUGAAGUGUGGAGGGCACUCAACCUCAUCGACAACAGCAUUGUUGCUCUCAAGAAAGUCCAAAUAUUUGAGAUGAUGGACGCCAAGGCAAGACAGGACUGCAUCAAGGAGAUUGAUUUAUUGAGGCAACUGAAUCACCCGAAUGUCAUCAAAUACCUAGCCAACUUUAUCGGUAACAAUGAGCUGAACAUUGUGUUGGAGCUGGCCGACGCUGGGGACCUGUCUAGGAUGAUCAAGCACUUUAAGAAACAGAACCGCCUCAUCCCAGAGAAAACAAUUUGGAAAUACUUUGUGCAGAUCUGUAGUGCCCUUGACCACAUGCAUUCCCGGAGGAUCAUGCAUAGAGAUAUCAAACCAGCCAAUGUUUUCAUUACUGCUCAGGGUGUUGUGAAACUUGGUGACCUUGGCCUUGGUCGGUUUUUCAGCUCCAAGACAACUGCAGCACAUUCCCUAGUGGGGACACCAUACUACAUGUCUCCAGAGAGAAUUCAUGAAAAUGGCUACAACUUCAAGUCUGACAUCUGGUCUCUAGGCUGUCUCCUGUAUGAGAUGGCAGCAUUGCAGUCUCCCUUCUAUGGAGAUAAGAUGAACCUGUACUCUCUGUGUAAGAAGAUCGAAUCGUGUGACUACCCACCACUGCCAUCUGACCACUACUCCCGCGAGCUGAGAGAGCUGGUAGCCAUGUGUAUCAACCCGGACCCUGAACAACGGCCCAGUAUCGACUAUGCCUACUCGGUAGCACAGAAGAUGAACUUACAUUUCCAGCAGCAGCAGCAGCAGAAGCAGCAGGGGACCAGUGCAACCACGCAGGUACAGAAGCCAGCUGUACCGCAGCAGUUCCAGGCCAUGGCGACAUCCACACCACAGCAGUCCUGACUCAACUGUGACCUUGACCUUCAUGUGUCCAUUUGACCUUGACCACCAUGAGUCCAUUUGACCUUGACCUUCACUUUAGCGGUCAUUAUCAUCAGGUUACAUAGAGCUGUCUUUCACUUGUCCAUGUGACCUUGUCCUUCACUGUAGGGGUCACUGUCGUUAUGCAGAUCAUGUUAUUUAAUCCACUGCAGUUGUGUUAAGUGCAGAGAUUUUAUUAAGACUGACGUUGUUAGGUUGUAAUGGUCUAUCUUUGUUGCCACGGCGUGAGCUGACCUGUGAUGAUGACUGUAUGUAUGAGUCACGUGACCUAGAACGGUAACACUCGGUUACGUCUUGCCCAGUUAUCUGUGUUGUAUACACCAGCACUCUUUACUUCCCUGCACCAAAGCGACAGAUCAAAGGAUAGCGUUUGCAUGAUUUGCCAUUGAGAAAACGACACUUGCUUGAAAGCUUGACAUGUACACCAUGUACACAGUGUUCCUCGCUGCUAUUGGAACCAGUUGUGUAGCUCUUGAUGAUCACACGGUGUAGAGUGGUUGUCGUAUCUAUUUACUGCUGAAAUGACAGGCUUGCAUGAUAGGCCUCAUGAAUUCCUACAGAUCAGUUCCGAUGUAACCCCCACAAAUAGAAGGUUGCAUCUCUGGGACUGAAGCAGUUCUUAUAACCAUGGCAAUGGAGUUUGCUGAAAGUCAGAAAAAUCAUGGUUCAUAGAUUGUUCUGUGUGAGUAGCUGUGGUUGGAUGCAAGCGUUGUGCGGGUACAUUAACAAAGUAGCUGUGGUUGGAUGCAAGUGUUGUGUGGGUACAUUCAACAGAAUUGCUGUGCUUGGAUACAAGUGUUGUGUGAGUACGUUCAACAGAAUUGCUGUGCUUGGAUGCAAGUGUUGUGUGGGUACAUUCAACAGAUAUGCUGUGCUUGGAUACAAGUGUUGUGUGGGUACAUUCAACAGAAUUGCUGUGCUUGGAUACAAGUGUUGUGUGAGUACGUUCAACAGAAUUGCUGUGCUUGGAUGCAAGUGUUGUGUGGGUACAUUCAACAGAUAUGCUGUGCUUGGAUACAAGUGUUGUGUGGGUACAUUCAACAGAAUUGCUGUGCUUGGAUACAAGUGUUGUGUGAGUACGUUCAACAGAAUUGCUGUGCUUGGAUGCAAGUGUUGUGUGGGUACAUUCAACAGAUAUGCUGUGCUUGGAUGCAAGUGUUGUGUGGGUAUAUUCAACAGAUAUGCUGUGCUUGGAUGCAAGCGUUGUGUGGAUGUUCAACAGAACAGCUCAGCUUGGAUGCAAGUGUUGUGUAAGUACAUACAACAGAUAU